rnacentral:rRNA from 1 species
CUACGGGCGGCUGCAGUGAGGAAUAUUGCACAAUGGAGGAAACUCUGAUGCAGCAACGCCGCGUGGAGGAUGACGCAUUUCGGUGUGUAAACUCCUUUUAUAUGUCAAGAAAAUGACGGUAGCAUAUGAAUAAGCACCGGCUAACUCCGUGCCAGCAGCCGCGGUAAUACGGAGGGUGCAAGCGUUACUCGGAAUCACUGGGCGUAAAGGACGCGUAGGCGGGAUAUCAAGUCAGGUGUGAAAUCCUACAGCUUAACUGUAGAACUGCACUUGAAACUGGUAACCUAGAGUAUGGGAGGGGGAGAUGGAAUUAGUGGUGUAGGGGUAAAAUCCGUAGAUAUCACUAGGAAUACCUAAAGCGAAGGCGAUCUCCUGGAACAUAACUGACGCUAAGGCGUGAAAGCGUGGGGAGCAAACAGGAUUAGAUACCCGCGUAGUC